AUAAAAAAUAAAAAUAAAUAAAUCUUUUAAAAAAAUGACAAAGAGUUAUUUAUUCACAUUAACUAUUCACAUUGUACAAGUGUAUAUUUCUGUUCCUGAUACUGUACAAUUACGUAAGAUGUAGCCAGUGGGGGAAACUGAGUGAAGGGUACAUGGCACUCUAAUGCACUAUCUUUGCAACUUCCUGUGAAUCUGUAAUUAUUUCAAAAUAAAAGGUUUUGGGGUGUCUGGCUGGCUCAGUCAGAGGAACACGUGACUCUUGAUCUCAGGAUCAUGAGUUUGAGCCCCACAUUGGGUAUAGAGAAUACUGAAAUAAAUGAAUAAACUUAAAAACAAAACAAGAGUUUUUUUAAAGUUAAAUAGCAUGAGGGAAACUUUGGGGUUGAGGGACAUGUUCUAUAGGCUUUGUUUGUGGUGGUGGUUACAUAAGUGAAUACAGUUCUCAAAACUUACCUAACCAUUCUCUUAAAAUGUGUGCAUGAUGUUGCAUGUAAACUGUACCUCAAUAAACUACUUUAAGUUCAACAGCAACAACAGAAUAUGGAGUAAACAAAAUAUACCAGCUUUCAGCCUAAGUUUUUCUAGGCCAAGCAUUGUAUGUAAUAUUUUCUCUUUUGCCACCCAGUGCCUUCCAAAUCAACACGUAUUAGUGAGUACUAGAAUGCCAGGGUCCCACUGCCUCCCUGACAUCUGACAGGGAAUAGAGAUGGGUAAAUGUUUACCAAAUGAAGGUGUGUUGGCAAGGAGCUAGAGACUCCGGGGCUUCCAGCCUGAUGGAGUAAUUUAGAUCAUCUCUUGCUUACAUAUCUGGAGCCAUUCUCUCCUUAUAGUCCAAGGAGCAAACACAUAAAGCCAGCCAACCAUCGGUUAUAGUCUCUUCACCCUAGAGAGUAAAUGCUUCAGGACAUCGGAGAAGCAAGUCUGGAGGGGGGCGAUUACUCUUUGUAUCACUUGGAUUGUUAUUUCUCUUUCUAUAUCCUGCUUCUCUAUUAGACUGUGAGUUGGAAGGCAGGGGCCUUUCUCUGUUGUUCUAACCCUCAUUCCUUACAUGGAAGGCAGCAGCCACUCAGCAAUCCUUUGCCACUGAUGAAUUGUAGUCCAUACCCAGCUAUUUGUUUUUUAUUUUUUUAUUAAAUUUUUAAAAGAUUUUAUUUAUUUAUUUGACAGAGACACAGCGAGACAGGGAACACAAGCAGGGGGAGUGAGAGAGGGAGAAGCAGGCUUCCCGCUGAGCAGGGAGCCCGAUGCGGGGCUCGAUCCCAGGACCCCGGGACCAUGACCUGAGCCGAAGGCAGACGCUUAACGACUGAGCCACCCAGGCACCCCCAUACCCAGCUAUUUGUGAUACAAACAGGAACAAAUUCGAAAGUGGACCUCUUCUAUGUGCUGAAGACAGCAGAUUUAGGUUCACGGCCAAACGGAAUGGCAAGUCCGGAGAGUUUCCAUAUACCUCCUGCCCUGUAGACACACAGCCCGCCCUGCCACCAUCGCCCCGGAGCUCAGUGGUACAUCUGUUACCAUUGAUACACUUCCACGAACGCCUCAUCAUCAUCAGAAGUACAUAGUUUAGACUAAGAAUGCCUAUUGGAUUAAGUCCCUGCCCUGUUGGAAAUGUCAGAACGUCCAUCAUCAAAAAGGCAAGAGAUAACAAGUAUUGGUGAGGAUGUGGAGAAAAGGAAACCCUCGUGCCCUGUUGGUGAUGAUGUAAACUGGUGCAGCCGCUGUGGAAAAAAGUAUAGAGGUUUCUCAAACAAUUAAAAAUAGAACUACCAUAUGAUCCAGCAAUCCCACUUCUGGGUAUUUACCCAACAGAAAUGAAAACGGAAUCUCAACGAGAUCUCUGUACCCCUAUGUUCACUGUACAUUAUUCACAACAGCCAAGAUAUGGAAACAACCUAAGUGUCCAUCAACAGACAAAUGGAUAAAGAAGAUGUGGUAUGUCUGUGCAACAUAAUACUAUUCAGCCAUGAGAGAGAAGGAAGUCCUGCCAUUUGGACAACAUGGAUGGACCUUGAGGGCAUUAUGCUAAGUGAAAUAAACCAGACAAAGACCAAGAUUGCGUGGUAUCACUUAUAUGUGGAAUUAAAAAAAAAAAAAGGUCAAAGUUAUAGAAACAGAGUGGAAAAGUAGUUGUCAGGGGCUGGGAGGUAGGGGAAAUAGGGACAGGUUGGUAAAAGUGUACAAACUUUCAGCUAUAAGAUGAAUAAGGUCCAAAAAUCUAAUGUAAAAUAUGGUGACUAUAGUUGAUAAAUUGUAUUAUAUAAUUGAAAUUUGCUAAGAGUAGAACUUAAGUGUUCUCGCCCCCCUCCCCAAAUUGUGUGUGUGUGUGUGUGUUUGUGUGAU